ACGGCAGCACGGGAGCAAUCCUGGUGGCGAGUGGCGAACGGGUGAGUAAUAUAUCGGAACGUGCCCAUUAGUGGGGGAUAGCCCGGCGAAAGCCGGAUUAAUACCGCAUACGACCUACGGGUGAAAGCGGGGGAUCGCAAGACCUCGCGCUAUUGGAGCGGCCGAUAUCAGAUUAGCUAGUUGGUGGGGUAAAGGCCUACCAAGGCUACGAUCUGUAGCUGGUCUGAGAGGACGACCAGCCACACUGGGACUGAGACACGGCCCAGACUCCUACGGGAGGCAGCAGUGGGGAAUUUUGGACAAUGGGCGCAAGCCUGAUCCAGCCAUGCCGCGUGUGGGAAGAAGGCCUUCGGGUUGUAAACCACUUUUGUCAGGGAAGAAACGGCUCCUGCUAAUACCGGGAGCUAAUGACGGUACCUGAAGAAUAAGCACCGGCUAACUACGUGCCAGCAGCCGCGGUAAUACGUAGGGUGCAAGCGUUAAUCGGAAUUACUGGGCGUAAAGCGUG
rnacentral:rRNA from 1 species